rnacentral:rRNA from 1 species
GACGAACGCUGGCGGCGUGCUUAACACAUGCAAGUCGAACGGAAAGGCCCUGCUUUUGUGGGGUGCUCGAGUGGCGAACGGGUGAGUAACACGUGAGUAACCUGCCCUUGACUUUGGGAUAACUUCAGGAAACUGGGGCUAAUACCGGAUAGGAGCUCCUGCUGCAUGGUGGGGGUUGGAAAGUUUCGGCGGUUGGGGAUGGACUCGCGGCUUAUCAGCUUGUUGGUGGGGUAGUGGCUUACCAAGGCUUUGACGGGUAGCCGGCCUGAGAGGGUGACCGGCGACAUUGGGACUACGGUACGGACCAGACUGCUACGGGAGGCAGCAGUGGAGAAUAUUGCACAAUGGGCGGAAGCCUGAUGCAGCAACGCCGCGUGCGUGAUAACGGGCUUCGGGUUGUAAACAGCUUUCUCCUGUGACGAAGCGUGAGUGACGGUAAUGAGUAAAGAAGCACCGGCUAACUACGUG